rnacentral:rRNA from 1 species
GAUGAACGCUGGCGGCGUGCCUAAUACAUGCAAGUCGAGCGAACGGACGAGAAGCUUGCUUUUCUGAUGUUAGCGGCGGACGGGUGAGUAACACGUGGAUAACCUACCUAUAAGACUGGGAUAACUUCGGGAAACCGGAGCUAAUAUCGGAUAAUAUUUUGAACCGCAUGGUUCAAAAGUGAAAGACGGUCUUGCUGUCACUUAUAGAUGGAUCCGCGCUGCAUUAGCUAGUUGGUAAGGUAACGGCUUACCAAGGCAACGAUGCAUAGCCGACCUGAGAGGGUGAUAGGCCACACUGGAACUGAGACACGGUCCAGACUCCUACGGGAGGCAGCAGUAGGGAAUCUUCCGCAAAGGGCGAAAGCCUGACGGAGCAAGGCCGCGUGAGUGAUGAAGGUCUUCGGAUCGUAAAACUCUGUUAUUAGGGAAGAACAUAUGUGUAAGUAACUGUGCACAUCUUGACGGUACCUAAUCAGAAAGCCACGGCUAACUACGUG